GAUGAACGCUGGCGGCGUGCCUAAUACAUGCAAGUCGAGCGAACGGACGAGAAGCUUGCUUCUCUGAUGUUAGCGGCGGACGGGUGAGUAACACAUGGAUAACCUACCUAUAAGACUGGGAUAAUUUCGGGAAACCGGAGCUAAUACCGGAUGAUAUUUUGAACCGCAUGGUUCAAAAGUGAAAGACGGUCUUGCUGUCACUUAUAGAUGGAUCCGCGCUGCAUUAGCUAGUUGGUAAGGUAACGGCUUACCAAGGCAACGAUGCAUAGCCGACCUGAGAGGGUGAUCGGCCACACUGGAACUGAGACACGGUCCAGACUCCUACGGGAGGCAGCAGUAGGGAAUCUUCCGCAAUGGGCGAAAGCCUGACGGAGCAACGCCGCGUGAGUGAUGAAGGUCUUCGGAUCGUAAAACUCUGUUAUUAGGGAAGAACAUAUGUGUAAGUAACUGUGCACAUCUUGACGGUACCUAAUCAGAAAGCCACGGCUAACUACGUG
rnacentral:rRNA from 1 species